GUUUUCUUUUGGCCAAAAGCGUAGCGUUUUGCGCGCGUUUCUCGGCUAAACGACUUGGUAACUUGGCUCACCUGGCUACAUCAUAUCGAUAUUGUGUGAGUCGAUCUCAGUCAGUUGCAAACGGAUUGCCAGACGAGUCGGUUCACUAAAAAGCCACUUAGCAUUCAACUUAAAUGUUAGAUCAAGCGCGAACCUAGAAACAACAUCAUCAUCGUACUAUUAUUAUUAUUUUUGUUUUGUUUUUUUUUUAUUGUUUGAGUUCGCGAGUUUUUCACACAGAAGAAAUGACAAUCUAUGGACUGUUAGUACAGAUCAUUAUCGUUUGCCACUAACUAACUUUCUGUAGAGUCCGAAAUCCGAGGAGGAGCAACAAUGGCACCGCCACCAGAACAACCAGAGGAUGAUAUUGUCACCAAGAUACCCUCGAUAAUUGGAUUCCUGAACUUGGACUGAUGACUGGCGGCAAAUGGAGCUUUGGCCACAAAUUUUGAUGAGCUGACCUAGAGAGCCAAGGCUGAAGCGAUGAAUCAUGAGAAUUAUAACUAUAAAUGAAUAAGAAAUUAUUAAGAAAUGGUUUAAAAAGCUAACAAAUAAACGAGAAAUGUAAACGA